rnacentral:rRNA from 1 species
CCUACGGGGGGCAGCAGUGGGGAAUAUUGGACAAUGGGGGGAACCCUGAUCCAGCCAUGCCGCGUGUGUGAAGAAGGCCCUCGAGUUGUAAAGCACUUUCAGUGAGGAAGAACGCCUGGUGGUUAAUACCCAUCAGGAAAGACAUCACUCACAGAAGAAGCACCGGCUAACUCCGUGCCAGCAGCCGCGGUAAUACGGAGGGUGCGAGCGUUAAUCGGAAUUACUGGGCGUAAAGCGCGCGUAGGUGGCUUGAUAAGCCGGUUGUGAAAGCCCCGGGCUCAACCUGGGAACGGCAUCCGGAACUGUCAAGCUAGAGUGCAGGAGAGGAAGGUAGAAUUCCCGGUGUAGCGGUGAAAUGCGUAGAGAUCGGGAGGAAUACCAGUGGCGAAGGCGGCCUUCUGGACUGACACUGACACUGAGGUGCGAAAGCGUGGGUAGCAAACGGGAUUAGAUACCCUUGUAGUC